UACGUGCGCGCGUGAACCACACGCGAUCAAACUAAAUAAUUUUACAAACUCGUUGACACGUCCCUUGAUAAAGCUCAACGAGCUUGAUAGAGCGAAGUGAAGGUGGUGUUUUUCAGCAGGGAGAAGAGAUUACGCCAUUCCGAUAACUUCACUGUGCCAAGGUUACUAUCUCGAAGCGCGUGCUGCACCGCAGCAUGGGAAUGCUGAUGACUUCACCGGGUCCGCCGCGGGAUUAACCUUCAUUUACGAGCCACCGCGAAAUACGUACGGUUUCCACGACUUUCCUGUCAAUCCGACCUGCCUAACCUGAUCCUCGCGUCUUGACUGGGCAGAAGAAUGAAUACUAGGCUUAUUAUGCGCAACUACACUUGCGCAGGACUCUAUCGGCUGCGCUAACUUAUGGCGGGAAGAUUUCAAUCCCGGCAAAGUGAAGUUUAACCUAUUUCCUAAUUUACGCAGUAAACUGUUCUAUAAAAGUGCAAGAUGUAUCUAAUGUUACGUGAUAAUUGACAAAAGAUUCUAACAGACGCGAUAAUUUACGUUAAAACGAUUUCGAUUUGAAUAAAACGAAACGUAGUUUUUUUU